CGCCGUUGGUGGCCCAGGUCUUGGUGCCGUUGAGCACCCAUUCGCGCGUGGCCUCGUCGAAGCGCGCGCGUGUGCGGAUCGCGCCGACGUCGG
rnacentral:tRNA from 1 species